rnacentral:rRNA from 1 species
UACAGAGGGUGCAAGCGUUAAUCGGAAUUACUGGGCGUAAAGCGCGCGUAGGUGGUUAGUUAAGUUGGAUGUGAAAUCCCCGGGCUCAACCUGGGAACUGCAUUCAAAACUGACUGACUAGAGUAUGGUAGAGGGUGGUGGAAUUUCCUGUGUAGCGGUGAAAUGCGUAGAUAUAGGAAGGAACACCAGUGGCGAAGGCGACCACCUGGACUGGUACUGACACGGAGGUGCGAAAGCACGGGGAGCGAACAGG